rnacentral:sRNA from 1 species
AAAAGGAACUUCUACUAAGAUCGCCCACGUCCUGUGGGCAACGUAGAAGUCACCGCAUUCUGCGG